UGCCUAAUACAUGCAAGUCGAACGAACUUCCGUUAAUUGAUUAUGACGUGCUUGCACUGAAUGAGAUUUUAACACGAAGUGAGUGGCGGACGGGUGAGUAACACGUGGGUAACCUGCCCAGAAGCAGGGGAUAACACCUGGAAACAGAUGCUAAUACCGUAUAACAGAGAAAACCGCCUGGUUUUCUUUUAAAAGAUGGCUCUGCUAUCACUUCUGGAUGGACCCGCGGCGCAUUAGCUAGUUGGUGAGGUAACGGCUCACCAAGGCGAUGAUGCGUAGCCGACCUGAGAGGGUAAUCGGCCACAUUGGGACUGAGACACGGCCCAGACUCCUACGGGAGGCAGCAGUAGGGAAUCUUCCACAAUGGACGCAAGUCUGAUGGAGCAACGCCGCGUGAGUGAAGAAGGGUUCGGCUCGUAAAGCUCUGUUGUUAAAGAAGAACGUGGGUGAG
rnacentral:rRNA from 1 species